rnacentral:rRNA from 1 species
GUUAAGGUACUGCAAGAAAAGAUGUUGCAAAGCUUGCUAUUAAUUUUUUAAUAGCCGGACCUGGCGGCGACGCUAGUAAUCCGAGAGAUGAGUAAUGGAUUUCCAUUACCCAUGUUUGGUGGUAUGAGACAAACACUAGGCUGUCGGCCUUUUAAUUAUAAUAACAUCAAAAGUCACAAAAAAAAUUUUAUUAUUAAAUAACGGGUUAGUAGCUCCAAUAAAAAGCUACGGCAUUAUUAAAUAAAAAGACUAUAUUACAGGAUAACAAAGGUAAACCUGGUAUUUAUCGUAGAAUUAAUAAAUUAAAUAAUAAUGCUUAUGUAGGUAGUGGAUUAAAUUUAUCACAAAGAUUGAGUGAAUAUUACAAUCAAAGUGAAUUAAAAAGAAAUUCUAGGCCUAUUCAUGCUGCUUUACUUAAAUAUGGAUACGAAAAUUUUAUAAUAGAAAUUUUAGAAUAUUGCCGAGCAGAUGAGCUUAUUAAAAGAGAACAGUAUUACUUGGAUCUAUUAAAUCCUGAAUAUAAUGUAUUAAAAUAUGCUUAUUCGCUAUUAGGGUAUAAACAUACUCCUGAAAAUAUAGCGAAGUUUAAGUUAAAAAAAGUUUCACAGGAACUUAAGGAUAUAUUAUCUUCAGUGCACUUAGGAAAAGAAGUUAGUCAAGAAACUAGAGAUAAAUUAUCUCUUGCUACAUCUAACUAUAAAAAAAAUAACCCUCUUUCACCUGAAGCUUUAGCUAAUAUUACAGCUAAAACUACAGAACGUGAAGGAGUGGCUGUUACACUUUUAAAUACUCAAACUAACGAAGAAUUAGAAUUUCCUACUUUAACUAAAGUUGCGGAAUAUUUGGGUAUAAAAAGACAAGCUAUACGAAACGCAAUAAAUAGAGGAAGUCUUAUUAAAGGACUUUAUCGUGUUUCAUAAAAAAAGUAGGCAGUUUAUACACAUAAGUACUAAUUAUAAUAAUAAAAUAAAAUUACUUUAAUUUUUAAUCUAUAAGGUUAAAAGUCAGGUUUAUAUAACCUGUUGUCUAAAUGGAUAGCUCAUAAAGAUUUGUGGGCUAUUUAGGGAUAAGAUUUAAGCUUAUUAGUACAUAAGCUUAAAUUUCCGUGUAUGUCAAAAGGGAAACAGCCCAGAACAAGAGUUAAGGUUCCAAAAUUAUUAUUAAGUGAAAUUAAGAAGGUUUUUAUUUAAGUCGACAAGGAGAUAGGCUUGGAGGCAGCCAUAAUUUAAAGACCUCGUAACAGAGCGCUUGUUAAGUUUUAAAAGCAUCGAAAAUAUAACGGAUCUAAAUAAUAUACCGAUACCUUGUCCAUAAAUUAAGAUAAUUUAUUAUGUUAUUUAUGGGGUAGCAGAACGUUGGGUUUAUAUGAGAUUUUUCUUAUUUUUAAGAAAAUUAUAAUAUAACUCAAGUGAUAAUGGUGACAUGAGUAACUAAAAAGAGUUUAUACUCUCGCCUUAAGCUUAUGGCUAAGUAAAGUAACGGCCUCUAAGUUUUUUAACCUGAAGGUUAAAAUGAUGAGAAAAUCUUAAAUUAAAAAGACAACAUUUUUAAGUGAAAAGUGUGCAGGAAAUAUUUUUAAUAAGACAUAAAUAUGGACCAAUAAACUAAAAAGAUGAAGAAAAUAUAAGUGUCAACCGUACCUAUAAGCUGCAACAAGUAAGCUAGUAGAGGAUACGAAGGCGUAAAUGAGAUAACAAUCAUAAAGGAACUCGGCAAAAUAACUACCGUAACUUAGGGAUAAGGAGGGCUCAUUAUUCUUGAUUAAUAUCAAGUAAAAAGGAAGAAGCAUGAAAUAGUGUUGUACGACUGUUUAAUUAAAACAAAGCACUUUGCAAAAAGAUGAUAAAUCUAAGUAUUGAGUGUGAAAUCUGCCCGAUGUCGGCUGGUUAACGAAGAUAACUAAAUUUUUAAAGGUUUGGUGUUGCAGGAAACCCCGAUGAAUGGCGGCCUUAACGUGAGGGUCCUAAGGUAGCGAAAUGCCUUGGCCGUUAAAUGCGGUCUUGCAUGAAUGAUGUAACGAUACAACAGCUGUCUCUAUGAUUGACUCAGUGAAAUUGGAAUAACUGUGCAGAUACAGUUUACCUCUAGAUAGACGAGAGUGCGACUAGCUAAGUGCUUAAAAACAAUGUGGUGAAAACCCACCAGAUAACCCGUUAUCUGAGCUUAUGUGGCAUGCAUUAAGAGUAAUUUUUUUUGUGUGAAGCCCACAAAAUCCUGCCUUUUUUGAUAAAGGGAGGUGAGCUAUAUUACUAUGGAUAACUAAAGUGAAUCUGCGUCUGAAGCGUAGAUCUAGAGCUCUAUUUCUCUACAGUAGAAAAAUUUUAAAAAUAGAGUUUUGUUAAUUGUAUAAACAAGUUCUCGUUUGUUUAUUAAUGGGUCUAAUAUUAACCUACGUAUAGCAGGAUCCUAAAGUAAUAAUUAAGGUGUUUUUAAGUAAACUAGGUAAGCCCCAUAGUGCCCUUAUACAGCGUAUAAGGAAGUUUAACUGUGAAGUUAAAUAUACAUUAGGGGGUAAAGGAUGCUCUAAAAAGCGAAAGUUCUAUUGUAAUGAUAGAAAUAGGUUUAUUGACUAAUUCGAAAGAAUGCUGACUUAGAGUGGGUGUUUAUUAAACUAUAACGUAAAAUUGCAUUGAUUGGGUACCGGCUUUCUUAAGUGAUACGCAUUGUUUAAUGUAGCUAAGAAAGAGGCAUGGCUCCGUAGCUUUUUAAAGAUUAAGAAAAAAAAAACGGGAUAGAGAAAAGACACAUGACAAACCCAAAUAACAUUCAAAAUAUCAACGAAAAGUUGGAUCCUAUGUGAGUAACAGGGAUUGUAGACGCGGAAGGUAAUUUUAGCAUAUAUUACAACGAAAAAACGGAUAAAUUUAGUGCUAUUUUUAAAGUUACACAGAAAAGUAC